CCUACGGGUGACUGCAGUGGGGAAUAUUGCACAAUGGGGGAAACCCUGAUGCAGCGACGCCGCGUGAAGGAAGAAGUAUUUCGGUAUGUAACCUUCUAUCAGCAGGGAAGCAAAUGACGGUACCUGACUAAGAAGCCCCGGCUAACUACGUGCCACGAGCCGCGGUAAUACGGAGGGGGCAAGCGUUCUCCGGAUUUACUGGGUGUAAAGGGAGCGUAGGCGGUGCAGCAAGUCAGAAGUGAAAGCCCGGGGCUCAACUCCGGGACUGCAUUUGAAACUGGUGAACUAGAUUGCAGGAGAGGUAAGUGGAAUUCCUAGUGUAGCGGUGAAAUGCGUAGAUAUUAGGAGGAACACCAGUUGCGAAGGCGGCUUACUGGACUGUAAAUGACGCUGAGGCUCGAAAGCGUGGGGAGCAAACAGGAUUAGAUACCCCUGUAGUC
rnacentral:rRNA from 1 species